GAUGAAGAACGCAGCGAAAUGCGAUAAGUAGUGUGAAUUGCAGAAUUCAGUGAAUUAUCGAAUCUUUGAACGCACAUUGCGCCCCCUGGUAUUCCGGGGGGCAUGCCUGUUCGAGCGUCAUUUCACCACUCAAGCCUCGCUUGGUAUUGGGCAACGCGGUCCGCCGCGUGCCUCAAAUCGACCGGCUGGGUCUUCUGUCCCCUAAGCGUUGUGGAAACUAUUCGCUAAAGGGUGUUCGGGAGGCUACGCCGUAAAACAACCCCAUUUCUAAGGUUGACCUCGGAUCAGGUAGGGAUACCCGCUGAACUUAAGCAUAUCAAUAAGCGGAGGA
rnacentral:misc_RNA from 1 species